UACGGGAGGCAGCAGUGGGGAAUUUUCCGCAAUGGGCGAAAGCCUGMCGGAGCAACGCCGCGUGAGGGAUGAAGGCCUCUGGGCUGUAAACCUCUUUUAUCAAGGAAGAAGAUCUGACGGUACUUGAUGAAUAAGCCACGGCUAAUUCCGUGCCAGCAGCCGCGGUAAUACGGGAGUGGCAAGCGUUAUCCGGAAUUAUUGGGCGUAAAGCGUCCGCAGGCGGCCCAACAAGUCUGCUGUUAAAAAGUGGAGCUUAACUCCAUCAUGGCAGUGGAAACUGUUGGGCUCGAGUGUGGUAGGGGCAGAGGGAAUUCCCGGUGUAGCGGUGAAAUGCGUAGAUAUCGGGAAGAACACCAGUGGCGAAGGCGCUCUGCUGGGCCAUCACUGACGCUCAUGGACGAAAGCCAGGGGAGCGAAAGGGAUUAGAUACCCCUGUAGUCCUGGCCGUAAACGAUGAACACUAGGUGUCGGGGGAAUCGACCCCUCCGGUGUCGUAGCCAACGCGUUAAGUGUUCCGCCUGGGGAGUACGCACGCAAGUGUGAAACUC
rnacentral:rRNA from 1 species